GCAGCAGGCCGGCCUGCCGCUCGGCCCGCAAAGGGCCGGGAGGAAAGUCCGGGCAACAAAGGGCGCCAUAUUUCCUAACGGGAAGCUGUCCGCAAGGGCAGAGCAGCGUAACAGAAAAUAACCGCCCGAAAGGGCAAGGGUGAAAAGGUGAGGCAAGAGCUUACCGGGGGCCGCAGCAAUGCGGCCUGCCGUACGCCUUAUGGGUUGCAAGGUCAUGUACACCGGCGCUGAAGGACGGCCCGUCCAAUGCCGGGGGGUAGACCGCUGGAGCUUGCCGGCAACGGCAAGUCGAGAUAAAUGGCAGGCACCCCGCCCCCUAAGGGGCGGAGACACAGAACCCGGCUUACAGGCCUGCUGCACUU
rnacentral:RNase_P_RNA from 1 species